rnacentral:rRNA from 1 species
UACGUAGGGUGCAAGCGUUUAAUCGGAAUUACUGGGCGUAAAGCGUGCGCAGGCGGCUUUGCAAGACAGAUGUGAAAUCCCCCGGGCUUAACCUGGGAACUGCAUUUGUGACUGCAUGGCUGGAGUGCGGCAGAGGGGGAUGGAAUUCCGCGUGUAGCAGUGAAAUCGUAGAUAUGCGGAGGAACACCGAUGGCGAAGGCAAUC